AUUGAACGCUGGCGGCAGGCCUAACACAUGCAAGUCGAACGAGUGGCGGACGGGUUAGUAAUGUCUGGGCCACUUCCUGAUGGAUGGGGAUCACUACUGGAAACUGUUACUAAUACCGCAUACCAUAAGCUGUGCCCAGAUGGGAUUAGCUAGUUGGGGGGGUAACGGCUUACCACGGCGACGAUCCCUAGCUGGUCUGAGAGGAUGAACAGCCACACUGGAACUGAGACACGGUCCAGACUCCUACGGGAGGCAGCAGUGGGGAAUAUUGGACAAUGGGCGAAAGCCUGAUGCAGCCAUGCCGCGUGUAUGAAGAAGGUCUUCGGGUUGUAAUGUACUUUCAGCGGGGAGGCGUUACCCGCAGAAGAAGCAACGGCUAACUCCGUGCCAGCAGCCGCGGUAAUUC
rnacentral:rRNA from 1 species